rnacentral:lncRNA from 1 species
CCAGUGGCCUGGUUGGGUUUGGAGGGGGACUCCUGGAGAGGAAUAGAAAGAGGUUGGCCAGAGCUAGAUCCUUCUCUUGCCCAUGUAAAUGCUGACUUAGAACCUAAUCCAACUGAGGAGGCCGGGAAAGCAGGAACUGAAAUCUCAUAACAGGCACUUGGCGAAGGAAUGUGCUGUCAUCUCAUCAGGAAGAGAGAACAGCUCCUUUUUUUUGGCUGGGGUUGGGCAUGAAGAGCCUGUGUUGGUGGCUUUACGGCCAGAGGACAGGGGGUGUCAUGGAUACCAGGCUGCCAAGAAAUGGGGGUGCCCUCCAGAGGGCCACAUGUCGCCCAUCAGGGUCUGGGGGCAUCACUGCCGAAGGUGGGAGAGAACAAAGGUUCUGCAGGGAACAGACAGUGGUCAGGGAAUCAAUGCACACUAGCUCUACAGAGACUGUUUGGAGCAACAAAGUAAGUGUAGGCUAUUUUUAGCUUUAGAACUUUUUCUGCAAAUGAAAUCCAACACAGAAACCCAGUGCAGGUAAAACUGAAGCUGGAUAAUAGGAGUUGGGGAUCUGGAGGCGUACCCACUCCUGUAUCUGUAGCCCUUCAUCAGUCCCUGAAGCAUCUCUGGGGAUCCCUCAGCACUCUGUGGGUGGCAAGUUUAAAAAUCCCUCAUCUCACUCAACAUUUCACUUUCUGGAAGCCUAGAAAGGCACAGCUGCUCACCAAAGGAAUUCCCUCUUAUCAACAUUCUGGAUUAUUCUGGGUCCUGCAUGGCCUGAGGACUUUGCUCAAAUAUCAUGCAGCUCUUCUUCCAAAAAAGAUUGUGUCCAAACUUCCCCUUUGGGGGAUGUUGAUUAAAGGGUAAAAUAAGUUGCAGUUAUGUAGGAUGAAUAAGUCUAGAGAGAUAAGUUACAGGCAUGGUUACUGUACCAAAUGAUACUGUGUUGAACACUGGAAAUAUGGUGGGAGAAUGGGUUUUAGGUACAGUCAUCACACACACACAGGUGACUAUGUAAGGAGAAGAUAUUUUAAUUAGCUUGACUGUGGUAAGUAUUUCACUGUGUGUGUGUAAAAUCAUGUUGUACACCUUAUAUAUAUACAAUUUUUAUUAAAA